UCAAACUUGGUCAUUUAGAGGAAGUAAAAGUCGUAACAAGGUUUCCGUAGGUGAACCUGCGGAAGGAUCAUUACCGAGUUUGGGUCCUCUUACGGGCUCGACCUCCAACCCUUUGCCUACCUUACCUCUUGUUGCUUCGGCGGGUCCGUCCCUUUUGGUGGUCCGCCAGAGGGUUUAACGCCCUCUGGUCCGCGCCCGUCGGUGGCCUUCUUAAUCAAACUCUUGUUAAACUGUGCCGUCUGAGUGUGAAGAAAAAUAACCGAAAAAAACUUUCAACAACGGAUCUCUUGGUUCUGGCAUCGAUGAAGAACGCAGC
rnacentral:misc_RNA from 1 species